UACGUAGGGGGCGAGCGUUGUCCGGAGUUACUGGGCGUAAAGGGCAUGCAGGCGGUGCGCUGCGUUUGCCAUGACAGCUCCUCGCUUCACGAGGAGAGAGUGGCAAAAACGAGCGCACUUGAGGGACACAGAGGGACACAGAAUUCCGGGUGGAGUGGUGAAAUGCGUAGAGAUCCGGAGGAAUACCAAAGGCGAAGGCAGUGUCCUGGCUAGUACCUGACGCUAAGGAGCGAGAGCUAGGGGAGCAAACAGG
rnacentral:rRNA from 1 species